UACGAAGGGGGCUAGCGUUGUUCGGAAUUACUGGGCGUAAAGCGCACGUAGGCGGACUGAUAAGUCAGGGGUGAAAUCCCGGGGCUCAACCCCGGAACUGCCUUUGAUACUGUCAGUCUAGAGUUCGAGAGAGGUGAGUGGAAUUCCGAGUGUAGAGGUGAAAUUCGUAGAUAUUCGCAAGAACACCAGUGGCGAAGGCGGCUCACUGGCCCGGUACUGACGCUGAGGUGCGAAAGCGUGGGGAGCAAACAGG
rnacentral:rRNA from 1 species